rnacentral:rRNA from 1 species
CGUAGGUGGCAAGCGUUGUCCGGAUUUAUUGGGUUUAAAGGGUGCGUAGGUGGCCCUGUAAGUCAGUGGUGAAAUAUCUCAGCUUAACUGAGAGGGUGCCAUUGAUACUGCAGGGCUUGAGUACAGAUGAGGUAGGCGGAAUUGACGGUGUAGCGGUGAAAUGCAUAGAUAUCGUCAAGAACACCGAUAGCGAAGGCAGCUUACCAAGCUGUAACUGACACUGAGGCACGAAAGUGUGGGGAUCAAACAGGAUUAGAUACCCUGGUAGUCCACACUGUAAACGUUGAUGACUCGAUGUUGGCGAUACACAGCCAGCGUCCAAGAGCAAAUCGUUAAGUCAUCCACCUGGGGAGUACGCCGGCAACGGUGA